AAUUGUAAUGUUUGAUGUUCUGUUGCAGUGGUUGCUAUACAUUAUGUGUUACCAGAGGUUGCUGGUUCGAACCCCCUCUUAGCUUAUUUUAUCAUUUUUUUUGUCUGGCACCUGCAUACAUUGUUGAUACAUAAGUGCCAUCUCUUUACUCUUGCAAAUACAGUAAUUUUUUUUCAAUCUUAUACCCACACACAUGAGAGGGGAUAGAGAACCACUCCACCGCACAGCCUCACCGGCGUCGCGGUGACUGUCACCGCCGCCGCUGACAUGAAGAUUUAGGGUUCCGCCGUGACAGAGUGUGGCGAUGGUGUUGUUAGUUGUCACCGAAGGUCAGUAACUCUGGCCAAUCGACUCAAUGGUGUUUCUGUGCAACCAAAAUCGGCGCCGAUCAGGUGUCGUUUGUCUAAAGAUGCGACUUCAAUUGGGCGUGUUGAGUAGUUACUUUAUUGCUAUUGAUCAUUCAGUAAUACCGGAUGCGACUAAACCACUAAUCCACUGAGCUUUUCCAGAUGUAUAACAUCAUCAGCAAACUAUACAUAAAAAGACCCAAGACUGAAGAAAAAGGAUAGGAAACAGGGUAAAAUUCUUAUUCUAAAGAUGCCUAACAAUCAUAUCAACUCUGAAGACGGAAAACAGGAUAUUUAUUUGGCUUAUAAAAAUGCGGUCUGAUGGUGGGGUCUCUAAGAUGUCUAUUUGGUGGCAUGGGCAUAUGGAUAUGGAUCACCAUAAUCAGCUCCAGUAGAUGGAUGUCCCGCUAACAUGGCCGAAUGAAACAGGUCGUUCGAUUUCACCUAUGACGUUUUGCUGGAAUUGUUACGUUCCAUGUUUUGUUGGUUCCGGUCCGGUUUCGACCCCAGGUUGGCCUAUUUUUUCCCAAUUCUUAUUUUUAUUUUACAUGUGUCAGAUUUAAAUAGCGUACAGGUGUUGUUGUCUUUGUAAAAUAGUGGCCUCCGUUGUGGGUUUGGUUUCCACAGAAAAAAUUGGGUCAACAUGUUAUAGAAAAUUUUAUUUUAUUUUGUAUCAUCUUACCUAUUGAAUAUACGAAGUGAAAUAACAGGCCAUUGUACAUUUAAAAAAACUGGCGCAACGCAUUAUUUCGUAACGCGUUUCCGUUGACGUGCAGUGUUGAUGAUCACUAUGUGUUUAUACAUGUAUGUAUGUCUUGAUCA